GAGGGUGGGGAAAGUUGGCUCCCGAGUUGGGCACCGGUUCAUUAGCAUUUAAAGGCGCCCGCUGCCCUUUCCAGCCCGCGACGAGCCCGCGACUGAGCGCGGGCCGCGCCGGAAAGAAAAGCGCAGCGGGGUGAGCGAGCGCGGGGCCUGGGACCGGCAGUCUGCGCGGAGCGCGCGCUGCAGCCCCGCGGUGGGAGCCGGGCGGGGGCGCGCUCCUCCCGCGCGACGUCCUGACACCUGGAACCGGCCUUCGGGAGAGGGAACUGGCCGUGCAUCGCAGGUCCGCUGCGCUCCUCUCCCCCAAACGCUGGCUUUUUAAGUCCUCUGCAUUUGCUCACCCAUGAAGCACCAGAAACGAUUUCUGAUACAGCAAUUAAGAACUGAAAUAAUGAAAAUCUUAACACGAUUUGGCUACUUUAGUCCUGAAAGGUAAUUCACGGAUAAUUUCGUCUAUAAACCGCAGGAAGACUGUGGUGGUUGGCUCUGAAGGUACUCUCAGAAGCUCUGAGCAGCCUAAGCAUAAGUUAAGGAAGACAGCAGAAGCCGUAUUAUCAAGUGACCGUUUUAAUAACAUAGGAAUACAAUGAAAUCAGUGAUAAAUCAUACAGAGGAAGUGUUCUGCUGGAAGCAACCCACCAGCUAUCCUGCUGACUUUGAACACAGCACAGCAAAAAGCUCAAGACCAAGAGCGUCAAGUCUGUUAUGAUGACAGCCAGAUCAUGAACGACAAGGAGACACGGAGGAAAUCCCACGGAUUAGAGUUUAGCAGGUGACAGCUCCGUGUAGUUCUCCCUCUUGUCUUGGACUCUGGAACAGGACGUGAACGUUAGUGGAGAAUUCUUCUGAUUAGUGGAGCAAUCUAGAAAAAUCAGGAGGUAUGACAUUGGGACUCUGAUGAAGAAAAAUCUGCCAUAUUAUACAGUAUGAAAACAUGGAUGAAAUAAUAUUCCUUAUGGACAAUGAAAAAUCAGCAAUGUAAUAAGAAUCAUAACUUUUGUGCUAUAUAUUCAGUGAAUUACUAGAAUUGAGAUGGGUGAAAAAAAAUCUUGCAAUAUGUACGUACAAUGCUUUCAUAAAAUAGCAUUGUAAACUACUCCCAAACUUUAAAAUCCUCCAAGACUAUUACUCUCCCUGUCAAAGAUUGUUCUGAGGAUCCUUGUACAAAAGAGUGACUGAAAAGGUGUUAUGAAAAGCUGCCGUAGCUCCAGGUCUGGCCUGAGGUGCACACACCCUCUCACCGCAACUUUGUCAUUUUCUGUCCAUGUGCACCACCUAAGGCGUAAAUAUUGGGUGGAGAAAUAAACAUAUCAUUUAAAAUAAUAAUAAUAAUGACAAGAAGAAGAAGAAGGUAUCAUCGAACUUUCUAAAAAUGACUCAUCUCUACAAAAAUAUUACCCAUUCAAGUGUUCUUAAAAUCCACAGGUAAUUAAUUCACAACAACAUGGAUGGAGCUAGAGGGUAUUAUGCUCAGUGAAAUAAGCCAGGCCGAGAAAGACAAGUACCA